CAGCAACUCAGCUCACAGCCCCCUCAAGCCAACACAAACUUGAAUGGGAAGUUACUUUGUUCAUCAUUUUUAUUACUUUUUAUUUUAGAGGGCAGGAAAGCUCUGUGAGGUAUUUGGGACCCUGUAAAAGAAGACCACCAAAGGAAAACUGACGGGUCAUGACUCAGUUCAUGCCCCCCUCUUACUGACCAGCUUUGUCCGAAACAGCUUCAAGCAAACUCAAGUCUUUGUGUUGUAGCCACAUGAUAAAAUCUUGCAUCUUAACUUUGUGGAGGAUACUUUUGAUCCUGUUAGUAACUGUCUGGUUUCUUGAGGCUUCUAUCAAUAUCAGGAAAGAGAAAAAAGUGAAAAGGCUGCCACAUACUGACUCCUCGUCGAACCGUAGCUGAACAGGUAUGUGGUGUUUUGUUGUACAACAGACAAACACUUUAUACUUUCCCAACAGUGGAAUAAAAAAUUUAAAAAAACAUUUCUGCCACUCUUUCUUUGUGUGAAUUGUUUUAGCAGUGUGCCUCAAAUAUUUUCCUUUGUUCACCAACUACACUCCUCUUGUCUUUUUCCAUCUCUCCAGCACUUUUCCAUCCUCUCACCCUGCUGCUGCCGUCUGUCUUUGUCAUUCACCCCUCCUCUGGCUGCCUGACUGACUCUGUGAUAUAUGAGACUGCAGAGGGGUUUGUUUGUGUCCUGUGUUGUUCCACCCUAGUGUGAGACUACAAAAGUACACAGCAAUAAAACCCAAACAGUGUAAAAUCCCGACUGUACAUGUUUAUUUAUAAGGAUGCAAAGGGGACAAGAAUUUACAUUGGAUGUAAAGUGCUUUGCAAAGUUUGUUUAGACUUAUUUGAAUAUCUUUUUACCUGAGACUCAACAUUCCUCCUACAAGAGCAGAAGUACAGAGAGUAAGAGGAAUACAGUUC